rnacentral:rRNA from 1 species
AGUGAACGCUGGCGGUAGGCCUAACACAUGCAAGUCGAACGGCAGCACAGUAAGAGCUUGCUCUUACGGGUGGCGAGUGGCGGACGGGUGAGGAAUACAUCGGAAUCUACUUUUUCGUGGGGGAUAACGUAGGGAAACUUACGCUAAUACCGCAUACGACCUACGGGUGAAAGCAGGGGAUCUUCGGACCUUGCGCGAUUGAAUGAGCCGAUGUCGGAUUAGCUAGUUGGCGGGGUAAAGGCCCACCAAGGCGACGAUCCGUAGCUGGUCUGAGAGGAUGAUCAGGCACACUGGAACUGGGACACGGUCCAGACUCCUACGGGAGGCAGCAGUGGGGAAUAUUGGACAAUGGGCGCAAGCCUGAUCCAGCCAUACCGCGUGGGUGAAGAAGGCCUUCGGGUUGUAAAGCCCUUUUGUUGGGAAAGAAAAGCAGCAGGUUAAUACCCCGCUGUUCUGACGGUACCCAAAGGAUAAGCACCGGCUAACUUCGUG